UGGUUGACGAUCCGCGACAGUUGAAUGUCUAGCAUAUAGAGCGAACUYGGUGAAAUAUUUUGCUGGAGGUACUAGGACUAGUAGUCUAAAUGAUGGCUCGAAAUCAUGAAGUAUUUCCAAGUACCAAGUAGUACAACGAGAUCCCUCCCCCUCCCUAUGGGGAGAGACCAAACUACAGCAGCGAACGCUGAGGGGGUUAGUAUGAGGGGGUCGGCAAAGUCUCCGAUAUCUGAAGAAAAAAAAGUGUCUGGAGUUCCGCAGGCUUGAAUUUUGACAAAAGAUAAGACUAUUGCAGACAGAGAUCAGAUGUUUUGCAACUUACUGAAAGCUCCUGGAAGGAAACAUGCUGUUCUGAACUUAAACCUAAAGAUUUUCAUGCGGUGAUUGAUUAACCGCGCUCUAGAAUGCCGGUUAUAACAUUUUUUGCUAGUAUCAUUGUUCGGUAAUCAGUUAGACCAUUGUUGAGCAGCAGUACUGUUGGAGCUUAUUGGAGUUAUUUAUUCAGGCCUAUCGCGAGACUAAAUGACAUACAGAGGUUGUCUGUCUAUUCAACCAAGAAUCAUCUUUAAAGAUGACUCGUGUUCUUGUUCUUAAGGGAAUAAAAGGAAGCUAGAUGAAACUGAA